rnacentral:rRNA from 1 species
CAGUCGCCGCGGGAAUACAGAGGGUGCGAGCGUUAAUCGGAUUUACUGGGCGUAAAGCGUGCGUAGGCGGCUUCUUAAGUCGGAUGUUAAAUCCCUGAGCUUAACUUAGGAAUUGCAUUCGAUACUGGGAAGCUAGAGUAUGGGAGAGGAUGGUAGAAUUCCAGGUGUAGCGGUGAAAUGCGUAGAGAUCUGGAGGAAUACCGAUGGCGAAGGCAGCCAUCUGGCCUAAUACUGACGCUGAGGUACGAAAGCAUGGGGAGCAAACAGGAUUAGAUACCCCCGUAGUCCCUGUCUCUUAUAC